AUUGAACGCUGGCGGCAGGCCUAACACAUGCAAGUCGAGCGACCGGCGGACGGGGGAGUAAGGUAUGGGGACUCCCCGAUAGAGGGGGAUACCUACUGGAAACGGUAGCUAAUACCCAAUACAACCGGAGACCCCAAAUGGGAUUAGAUUUUAGGUAAGUGAAUGGCUCACCUAGGGGACCAUCCCUAGCUGGUCUGAGAGGAUGAUCAGCCACACUGGGACUGAAACACGGCCCAGACUCCUACGGAGGCAGCAGUGGGGAAUAUUGCACAAUGGGCGCAAGCCUGAUGCAGCCAUGCCGCGUGUAUGAAGAAGGCCCUAGGGUUGUAAAGUACUUUCAGUCGGGAGGCGUUACCGACAGAAGAAACACCGGCUAACUCCGUGCCAGCAGCCGCGGUAAUUC
rnacentral:rRNA from 1 species